AAAAUUAAUUAAAAGCUCCUGUUGACUGCUUCCCACUCUGAAAAGAAGGUGGAGAAUCUUAUUCUCUUAACUUUAAUGAUUGUUUAUUUAUCUUUUAUGGGGUUUUAUAUCAUAGUCGAGAGAGGUUUUUUCAGCUGCUUGACUCCCUUUUGCCAUCUGCUAUUUUUUGUUCACACACCAUCCCCACGCACCCAGCCCCCCCGUAGUAUUUAUUCUUAUUUUGUCAGAUCCCCGUCUAACUCGUCAAGUCUCUGAGCGGCUCCUUUGUAUUCCGAAUCUCGAUCCGAUUCCCUUAACCUCUCCCCCACCCACUCACCGCCAGCCCCGCUCCGGAGGCUGCUGAUGGGGAUCUGAUGGAUCCUCCUGCCGGGCGCAGCUCCCGACUCUCCCCGUAGAUUCCUUAACAAUCGGCAGCACCGAACUAAGCCGACUACCUCUCCCAAGCAAGGCUCACCUCUAAAGGUCCCGUUUCCCCGAGCCACCUCCCAGACAGAACCGCUGGUGGUGCUCACAGGGGCGCUGUGCCGGUGCCCCUGCCGCAGGGGUAGUCCUCGGCUCUCCCCUCCCCACGGGGUGGGGGCCAGGCUCAGCACCCUCCCUGCUCGGCGGUGAAACACGACCGGGGGGACCCGGGACCUCGCUGCAGCUGCCAGCUCCGAGUCCCGCUCCUGAGCCACACGCUGGCGCAAAACACCCGGGGACCCUGCUAGCACUUGCCGCCGGCCAUUCAUAAAUCCUGCGUGUGUGUGUGCCCGGCGCCGCGGACAUGGGGCUCUAACGUGGCGAAGGCGGUAUUUCUGACACAGCCUGAUCCCGGCUCCGCAACUUUGCCAUCUGGGAGCAGGCAAAGGGCACCGCGGCUUUAGAUUGCCCGGGGCUAGAAUUACCAGAAAGGAAAAGAGUAAGAAAUGAAAUCCCAACUGUACCUGACGGUGUCUGGGAAUCCCUCGCCGGCACCGAUCGUAAUCCCCCUUCGCGCCUCUGGCCCCCCACACCAAAACUUUGCCGCCGCCGCUCCUCGGUGGUGGCCGCCGCCGCCCUCCUCCCGGCGCCGCUCCCGGCCGGCCCCGCGGGCCCGUUCCCCGCCGGCCGCCGCCGCUCCGAGCGAACCCCGCGCCUCCCGCGCCUUCCUCCGCCCUUACGAGGCGGCGGCAUCGUCCUACCCCCUGCUCCGCCACCUCCUCCUCCGGCGCGCAGCCCACGGCUCUGGCAUUCCCAACGCACUUUCUCUCCUCGAUUCGCUCUCUCUUUCCCCCGCCGUUCCUCCUUCUCCGGUAAAAAAUAAACGAGAGGGAACCGCGGCUACCCUUGAUCUUGGGGUUUCUUUCCGGAUUUUUUGGUUGUUUGCCCCUUUUUUUUUUUUUUUUUUUUUUUUUGUCUCUUUCUGUCCUCUGGAAAUGAUGAAAAGAUCACAUGAGGAGCAGGCACGGCGACCCAGGACCUUCGUAAGUCGGAGAAGGCAUCGGACACAUCCUCUGCGCACUUUUCAGAGUUCUUAUUUGAGCAUGAUUUAA
rnacentral:lncRNA from 1 species